rnacentral:rRNA from 1 species
UUUUUAGAGGAUUUGAUCCUGGUCCAGGAUGAACGCUGGCGGUGUGGAUAAGGCAUGCAAGUCGAACGGAACUUAGACUGAACUUUUUCUGAAACAUGGAGAGUAGCAAUACGAUUUGUGUCGAUGAGUUUGGGAUGUCUUAGUUUAGUGGCGAACGAGUUAGUAACACCUUGGUACAUACCUCGAAGUCAGAAAUAACCAGUCGAAAGAUUGGGUAAUGUCUGAUAGUCUCGCAAGAGUAAAGGCGCAAGCCGCUUUGAGAUUGGCCUAGGCCCGAUCAGCUAGUUGGUGAGGUAAUGGCUCACCAAGGCUAUGACCGGUAGGAGGGGUGAGAGCCCGACCUCCAACGACGGAACUGAGACACGGUCCGUACUCCUACGGGAGGCAGCAGUCGAGAAUAUUCCACAAUGGGCGAAAGCCUGAUGGAGCGACACCGCGUGCAGGAUGAAGGCCUUCGGGUCGUAAACUGCGGUAGUUUGGGAAGAAGCGAGAUUCGCAAGGAUCUCGUUGACCGUACUAAACGGAAAGAGGUGGGUAACUACGUGCCAGCACCAGCGGUAAUACGUAGACCUCGAGCGUUAUCCGGAUUUAUUGGGCGUAAAGAGCAUGUAGGAGGUUUGGUGCGUCUGUGGUUAAAGCCCGCUGCUCAACGGCGGAUCUGCUACGGAUACGAUCAAACUGGAGGGAGCUAGAGGCAAGUAGAACGCACGGUGUAGGGGUGAAAUCCGUUGAUAUCGUGCGGAAUACCAAAGGCGAAGGCAGCUUGCUGGGGCUUUCCUGACUCUGAGAUGCGAAAGCGUGGGGAGCAAAAAGGAUUAGAUACCCUUGUAGUCCACGCCCUAAACGAUGCCGAUUAGCUGUUCCUAGUAUCGACCCUAGGAGUGGCGAAGCUAACGCGUUAAAUCGGCCGCCUGGGAAGUACGAGCGCAAGCUUAAAACUCAAAGGAAUAGACGGGGACUCGCACAAG